GACAGAGGGUGCAAACGUUGUUCGGAAUUACUGGGCGUAAAGCGCGUGUAGGCGGCCCUGCAAGUCGGAUGUGAAAUCCCACGGCUCAACCGUGGAAGUGCAUUCGAAGCUGCAGGGCUAGAGUCCUGGAGAGGAAGGUGGAAUGCUUGGUGUAGAGGUGAAAUUCGUAGAUAUCAAGCGGAACACCGGUGGCGAAGGCGGCCUUCUGGACAGUGACUGACGCUGAGACGCGAAAGCGUGGGGAGCAAACAGG
rnacentral:rRNA from 1 species